AUGCUUGCUCUGGGAGCACAUAUACUAAAAUUGGAAAAAAUACAGGCAAGAUUAGUAUGGUCCCUGCACAAGGAGGACACACAAAUUUGUGAAGCAUUCCAUUUUUAA
ensembl:snRNA U6 U6 spliceosomal RNA